ACUUAUAGGAAAAACUACCUUGGAGAAGUUAUUUUGAGUAAUAACUAUCAAUUCUUCCCAUAAUAGGAGCAUGAAGAUGACUUUAAUUACUCCAUCUCCAAUACACUCAACACUACAACGACAACACUAUCAGAUGCUCGUCACCUUCUACCUGUGAUUACAUAUCUUAUAAAGUGGUUGGUCUAAAAACUCUCUCCUAGAAUUUUAGAAACUGAAGUCUUUCUUCAUAGUGCAGG
rnacentral:lncRNA from 1 species